rnacentral:rRNA from 1 species
UACGUAGGCAGCAAGCGUUGUUCGGAGUUAUUGGGCGUAAAGAGCGUGUAGGCGGUUUGGUAGGUCCGUUGUGAAAACUCGAGGCUCAACCUCGAGACGCCGAUGGAAACCAUCAGACUAGAGUCCGGAAGAGGAGAGUGGAAUUCCUGGUGUAGCGGUGAAAUGCGCAGAUAUCAGGAAGAACACCCGUGGCUAAGGCGGCUCUCUAGUACGGUACUGACGCUGAGACGCGAAAGCGUGGGGAGCGAACAGG